GAUGAACGCUAGCUACAGGCUUAACACAUGCAAGUCGAGGGGUAACGAGAGGAAAGCUUGCUUUCCUUGUCGACGACCGGCGCACGGGUGAGUAACGCGUAUCCAACCUGCCCCCAACUAGGGAAUAACCUUGCGAAAGUAAGACUAAUACUCUAUAAUUUCCUCAGAUGUCAUCUGACGAGGAAUAAAGAUUUAUCGGUUGUGGAUGGGGAUGCGUCUGUUUAGCUUGUUGGCGGGGUAACGGCCCACCAAGGCAACGAUCAGUAGGGGUUCUGAGAGGAAGGUCCCCCACAUUGGAACUGGGACACGGUCCAACCUCCUACGGGAGGCAGCAGUGAGGAAUAUUGGUCAAUGGGCGGAAGCCUGAACCAGCCAAGUAGCGUGCAGGAUGACGGCCCUAUGGGUUGUAAACUGCUUUUAUACAGGAAUAAAGUUAGCCACGUGUGGUUAUUUGUAGGUACUGUAUGAAUAAGGACCGGCUAAUUCCGUGCCAGCAGCCGCAGUAA
rnacentral:rRNA from 1 species